rnacentral:rRNA from 1 species
UACAGAGGUCUCAAGCGUUGUUCGGAUUCAUUGGGCGUAAAGGGUGCGUAGGCGGCGUGGUAAGUCGGGUGUGAAAUCUCGGAGCUUAACUCCGAAACUGCAUUCGAUACUGCCGUGCUUGAGGACUGGAGAGGAGACUGGAAUUUACGGUGUAGCGGUGAAAUGCGUAGAUAUCGCUUGGAACGCCAACGGAGAAAUCAGCAGGCUGGGGAUGUGCUGACGCUGAGACGCGAAAGCCAGGGGAGCAAACGGG